GCGGUAUCCUGAGACCGCUCCCUUUGCCGCCCUUCCUGAGUGUGAGACUCAGGUUCUUCAAGAGACAGACCUCGGCAAGAAGGUUCCCCUCCGCUCGCCUCGCUCCCGCGGGGCGCAUGGAAAUCUCGAGUCAGGUAGAACCUAAGCGAGCUUCACCUUAAGCCCAUACCUCAGGCUUCUCAUCUUGUGUCUUGAGGCUGCGGGGUCAUGGCACUGCUGGAACCGCUCGACACCCAGCCAGGAUCAAGCAACCCAAUGCCUUUGGAAGUGGCUGAUUUGAUAAUGUAUCCUACCAAUGGCUCUCCUUCCUGGCCUGCUUUACAACCCCUGGCUUUCACUCCUGGUCCUCGCAUUCACACUUGCCAAUAAAGUACUCAGAUGAGGAAGCCACACUAAGGCAUGUUGGUACCAAGAGUGGUCCCAGAAAGCAGCCCUCAGGUUGGAAUUUUGGAGCUGGACCGCUCACCAGUCAGAUGGCGACAACAGCCCCAUUCUGCGAUAAGUGUGUGUGUAUGAUGUGGGGGGUGGUAACACCUAGACUAUAUAUUUCUUCUCUUGGAAACAGAAGUAAACCUUAUCUUGAUAUAUUCGUUAUAAUGACAUGUAAGUUUUGGCUCAAAAUGAAACAAGAAUCAAAGAUAAUUGUACUGGUUUAAUUAAAACAGUGAUUCUGAACUGGGGACUGUUUUGCUUCCAGGGGACAUUUGGCAAUGUCUGAAGACAUUUUUGGUUGUCAUGACUUGUGGAGUGCUACUGGCCACGGUGAUUCUAGGCAUCCUACAACGCACAGAGAGCCCCUCAUAACAAAAUUAUUUAGUUCAAAAUAUCAGUGAGGUCAAGGUUGAAAAACUCUGAACUCAAGUGUUCAGAUUUCCUUAACUUGUCUGCCCAAGUAUAGGAAUAGG